GACGAACGCUGGCGGCGUGCUUAACACAUGCAAGUCGAACGGAAAGGCCCUGCUUUUGUGGCGUGCUCGAUUGGCGAACGGGUGAGUAACACGUGAGUAACCUGCCCUUAACUUUGUGAUAACUUCAGGAAACUGGGGCUAUUACAGGAUAGAAUAUCCUGCUGCAUGGUGGUGGUUGGAAAAUGUCGGCGGUUGGGGAUGGACUGGCGGCUUAUCAGCUGGUUGGUGGGGUAGUGGCUUACCAAGGGUGUGACGGGUAGCCGACCUGAGAGGUUGACCGGCCACCUUGGGCCUACGAUAGGGAGCAGACGGGUAUGGGCCGCAGUAGUGGGGAAUCUUGCACAAUGGGCGCACGUCUGUUGCAACAAUCCUGCGUGCGGAAUGAUGGCUUUUGGGUUAUAAACAGAUUUGUACUGUGCCGAAGCGUGCGUGACGGUAAUGAGUAAGAAAGCACCGGCUAACUACGUG
rnacentral:rRNA from 1 species